UACACCAUUAAUGAGAUAAGUACAAUUGUACUUUGUACAAAUAACACUUACUUUUGAGGGGCAAAAUUGGAAAGUUAGUAACAUUUGAUAUGUUGUAUUAAAACCCUUGCAAAAAGCAAAUGAGACAAUCAAUUAGGGACGGAGGGAGUAGAU